UCGAGAAUCUUCCACAAUGGACGAAAGUCUGAUGGAGCGACGCCGCGUGAUUGAUGAAGCCCCUCUGGGGCGUAAAGAUCUUUUAUGAGGGAAGAAGUUUAUUGACGGUACCUCAUGAAUAAGAGGCUCCUAAUCUCGUGCCAGCAGGAGCGGUAAUACGAGAGCCUCGAGCGUUAUCCGGAAUUAUUGGGCGUAAAGGGUGCGUAGGUUGUUCUAUUAGUCUUUUGUCAAAUCCUUGGGCUUAACCCAA
rnacentral:rRNA from 1 species